GUUUUUUAGUUUAAUUAAAAUAUAAUUUUGAAGCAAUUAAGAUUAAUAAAACGAUAA
rnacentral:tRNA from 1 species